GCUCAUGGCUCAGGAUGAACGCUAACAGAAUGCUUAACACAUGCAAGUCAACUUGAAUUUGGGUUUUUAACUUAGAUUUGGGUGGCGGACGGGUGAGUAACGCGUAAAGAACUUGCCUCACAGUUAGGGACAACAUUUAGAAAUGAAUGCUAAUACCUGAUAUUAUGAUUUUAAGGCAUCUUAGAAUUAUGAAAGCUAUAAGCACUGUGAGAGAGCUUUGCGUCCCAUUAGCUAGUUGGAG
rnacentral:rRNA from 1 species